AGUGUAAAUCACAACGAUUUAAAGGCUCAAAUUCUGAACAGCAAACGAGAAAUUUUACAUGUUGACAACAACCAAAUAAAAAUAUUAAGCAAAAAUGUUUUCAAUGUUACAAACUUGACAAAAUCAGAUAUAUACACCUGCAACCGUUGCCAAGUGCGCUACAAUGUCAUGGUUCAAUCAGAAACUCCAUCCUAUCAAGUACCUUUAAUCACAAAAGAACCAGAAAAAACAAUAUAUGAUUACAAGGAACGUGUUACAUUGAAUUGCAAGCUUAUUGGCCCUUCAUAUUUAAUAGCAAUUUAUUACAGAAUAUCAUGGAAAAGAAAUGGUAAGAC